AUCGCUUCAUGGCCUUUUUGCUAAGAUCUAGUGCAGUAUCUGUUCUUAUUAGUUUAAGUUUAAAAAAAAACAUGGAGGCAUCCAUGCACAGUCAACCUUUAGAAAAAAUAUUUCCUGAUACUAAAGUAUUGGGAGAACUACCUCUUAAUUUUUAUAAAUUUGGGUCAAAAUCCAU
rnacentral:snRNA from 1 species